GGGCCAGGACCAGGAGUGGGUCCAGACCUCCCUACUUGCCUCUGUGCCUCUUCUGGUUGAAAAAGAUGAAGCCAAGAGGAAGGAAGUGCGGUGUCCUCAUGGAUGUGAGCACAUUCCGUCCUCCGUGCUCAGAUUCAGAGACCUAGAGCUGGUCUGUGGCCAGGAAAUCGGGAUUCCUGAAUGUGCUGGAUGUUUUUCUUGCCCCUCCGGAUGUACUUUCCACCCUUCUCGCCUGCCCUAUGCCCUGGCAGGCUGGCCUCUGUGGACCACAGACAAAGGCUCCCUUGUGCCGUGGCCUGGCGUUGGGUUCAGCCUAUAGGUGACACUGGCAGGUGAAUGAGAUCCAGGACCCUAAUUGACACGCUGAGUUUUCUUUACUUCAAUUUUCCUCUCCUUGGACCCUGGAGUCAACCUCAUUCACUCUACCAACAUGGUAUCUGUAAUAUGCCGGUUAUGAGCUCAGCACCAGCGAUGCAGAGACGAGAGACGGAGGUCACAGUCAAUCACCAUCCCAGAUGAUGUGGGUUACGCUGGAGGUCAGCGCCAGCCCUGUCUCCUCUGACCUCCUGCCUCGCUCUCAGGAGGACUCUGUGACUACACCAAGAUGAUCCAGGACAAUCCUCCAUCUCAAGAAUUUGAAAACUUGUGAAGAGUGAGUAUGCUUGUAUUCAUGGCAAUAUAGUUAUUUGCAUAAGUUCAAGAAGAAUCUGUUCUACUUAUACAAGGAAACAAUUGGAAACACUGAUUACAUUAUCAAGGCUUUGACUGGAACGUCAUAUCUAAAAACAUGCAGACUCAGAUAUGACCAGAUAGCUUUUGAGGAACAAAGAUCGGACUUUAUGGAAUAAAGCAAUUUGGAAAUAUUGGCCUGUUACCUUGUUUAUAGGGUGCCCAGCAACCUUACCAGGUGAGUAGAGAAGGUCACUUCGCUGGCAGGUGCAGAAAAGCCCAGGAUAAUUUGGGGACCUCUAGAAGAGAUAAAUUCACCCAAAUCUGUAGGUGUUGCAGGCAGAGUCUGAUGACAAGUCCUUGGCUUGGCUUCCCUAACUCAAGAGGCCUUUAAAGUUCAACCUGAGAUUCAUUAUAAAAAGUUCCAGCAAAGCAGAUUUAAGAGCCUAUAUGAUCAAUUGCUAUUUUUGCUGUACUUAUGUAAAUAAUUGGGCCAAGUUUAUUGAAACUAGACAUUUUUCAAACCAAUGAGUCCUAAUUUGGCUAUCUUUCAUAAAAAUGAGGGGGAUUAUAGAGAGAAAAAUUAUGUUCCAAUAGAGACCGUAAGACACAUUUUUGGAUGUUGGAUUCUGGUUCUGUUAAUUGUCUUUGAGGUUUUUGUUUUCUAUCUGUAAACUUGACUGGAUCUUGAAUUCUUCUAGCUUCCUCAAAUAUCUGGUAAAGAUUUCCAAAUUAAUGUUUUCAAUUUAUUUCUGUCCUUUUCAUCUGGAAUCACUAAGUACUAAAACCACCAUUUUUGCUGAAGCCCUGCCAACUGAAGCUGGACAACUUGAUAUAAACCUAAGAGAGCACCAUGCUAGCCCAUGUUUGGACACUCUUCAUGCCUGUUGCUUUGUAAGCCACUCAAAAGGUUCACCUGAAUGCCUGAUGACAUCAUUGGAGACAUUUUAAACCUCAGGGGAUGCUUCAACGCUGACAUCUAGAGAUUGUCUUAACUGACCAUCCCCUGGACUCAAAAUUGGCUUAUAAUUUUCUCCAACCAUUAACCUUUGUUCUUCUAGAAAUGCUUCUUAUUAAAUAUCUGGUUACUUGUUUACACAAUGUAGGCCUAACUUUGGGAGACCCUUUCUAAGUUCUAGAGAUGACCCAAAAGACCUGGAGGGAACUCAAAUUAAAGAGCUAAACACUGUGAGAUGUGUCUCGACACCAUCUUUGUUGUAGAAACUGGGUCCUAUUGAAAUCCUGGAUUUCAUCCCUGCUGGAUGGGACCACAGGAAAAACGCCACAAGAAACACAAACCAUGCCACAGAAAAACAUCACAACUGGGAUCACCCAAACCUUGGAUGACUUCAUACUCUAGACACUGACUUUUCUGAAUGGACAAAUGAACCCCUGACAGACUGAAAGCUGCUGUAUGCUAUACAGAAGAUGGUUUCCUAAGAUAAGUAAUAAAUGACUCCCAGGUUAUUACAUAACUUGUUGACUAUUAGACAGCAGGCUGCGUAGCUACAUCAGAUUUCACUUGGGGUUCUAGGCCCUAACUUUGAUUGCUUUACAGGCCUCUUCUCCUAGAUUCCCCAAAGAUUCAGGUCCAGUAUACAGGGGAUACUAAAAUUCGGGCUAUUUCACUAAUCUGUGUGGUUGUCUAUGUAACUAAAAUGUGGACUAAAGUGUUGGUCCAAAGCCAUUGAUCAGAGUACUAAAAUAGUAGUUAUGCAAAGUAUAUCUUGCUCUGUCCACCUGGUACCCAAAUGUAUUUUAAAAUAAAGGUAAAACAGUUUCAUUCCUCUGACCCUGAUCUUCACCCUUUCACAGAAGGAAGUAGCCAGAACAGUCUUCACCCAUAUUCCCCAAGAUUGAGGAAUGAUGAUUAGACAGUGGGAUUGAAACUGAGGACAAAGAGGUUAAAACAUCUUCUCUGGGCUAGAAGAAAAGAACA